UAGUCCCUACGGGGCGCAGCAGUGGGGGAUAUUGCACAAUGGGGGAAACCCUGAUGCAGCGACGCCGCGUGAGUGAAGAAGUAUUUCGGUAUGUAAAGCUCUAUCGGCAGGGAAGAAAAAGCGCGCGAGCGCCCUUGACAGUACCUGACUAAGAAGCCCCGGCUAACUACGUGCCAGCAGCCGCGGUAAUACGUAGGGGGCAAGCGUUAUCCGGAUUUACUGGGUGUAAAGGGAGCGUAGACGGAGGAGCAAGUCUGAUGUGAAAAUCCGGGGCCCAACCCCGGAACUGCAUUGGAAACUGUUUU
rnacentral:rRNA from 1 species